rnacentral:rRNA from 1 species
CAGCCGCCGCGGUAAUACGUAGGUGGCAAGCGUUGUCCGGAAUUAUUGGGCGUAAAGGGCUCGCAGGCGGAUUCUUAAGUCUGAUGUGAAAGCCCCCGGCUCAACCGGGGAGGGUCAUUGGAAACUGGGAAACUUGAGUGCAGAAGAGGAGAGUGGAAUUCCACGUGUAGCGGUGAAAUGCGUAGAGAUGUGGAGGAACACCAGUGGCGAAGGCGACUCUCUGGUCUGUAACUGACGCUGAGGAGCGAAAGCGUGGGGAGCGAACAGGAUUAGAUACCCCCGUAGUCCCUGUCUCUUAUAC